rnacentral:rRNA from 2 species
ACUCCUACGGGAGGCAGCAGUGGGGAAUAUUGGACAAUGGGCGCAAGCCUGAUCCAGCCAUGCCGCGUGAGUGAUGAAGGCCUUAGGGUUGUAAAGCUCUUUCACCGGAGAAGAUAAUGACGGUAUCCGGAGAAGAAGCCCCGGCUAACUUCGUGCCAGCAGCCGCGGUAAU